GAGCCUACAGAGGCAGGCAGGCCUCCUUGAGCUGUGGUGGGCUCCGCCCAGUUGGAGCUUCCUGGCUGCUUUGUUUACCUAAUCAAGCCUGGGCAAUGGCGGGCGCCCCUCCCCCCGCCUCGCUGCCGCCUUGCAGUUUGAUCUCAGACUGCUGUGCUAGCAAUCAGCGAGACUCCGUGGGCGUAGGACCCUCCGAGCCAGAGAUGGGAUCUUACUACAUUGCCCAGGCUGAAGUGCAGUGGCUAUUAACAGCUGUAAUCAUAAUGCAUUGCAGCUUUGAAUUCCUGGGCUUGAGCGACCUCCCCACCUUAGCCUCCUGAGUAGCUGAGACUACAGAUGUGCCUUGCUUCUCCUUCAUUUUCUGCCAUGACUGUAAGUUCCCUGAGGCCUUCCCAUCCAUGUGGAACUGCACUGUCCUAGGUACUGUGGGGACCAAAACAUUCAGACCUGCUUCUAAGGAGUGCAGUCCAUGGAAGAGUCAGAAUAACAAAUCAACAUUUGUACUACACCAGACCAGCUCUCUUCUAAGGUUGCUAUGACUUCCCAGCAGGCAUUCUAAUAUAUGCAUUCUUCAUAACAACUGUGUGAAACAUAUUAAUAUCCUCAUUGUUAACGAUGAAGAAACUAAAUCUCAGGAAGAAAAACUAAGUGAAGACAAAAGAAGGAUUUGAACUGAGGUUUGUCAGACUCUCGGGACCAUGCUGUUGAAACCACUAAACCACGCUGCCUCUGGGUCACUUGAUUAUUCUGGGAGAUUCUGGGAGUCUUUUCUCCAACACUCCAGUGGCAUCUGACUAUGUGAGCUGAUAAGAUCUAUAGAUCUCCCCAGCAGUUGUUGAAAAGCAAGAGCAGGAACCGAGAGAAAGCCCCUUCUUUUAGUCGAAAACUCUUACUCUGCUUAGGAAAACCAUGAACCCAAACAGUGUGGGUCAGCCUUUCAAUAUGCAAAACGGACGAAGGCUGAAGCAAUCACAUGCCAUGCACAACUGUCAAACGGCAAGAAUGAAUGAUGGAUGGAAAGAAUGGGAAUGUGUACGUUAUCUUGCUCCACUUUGGACAGUCAUGAUCAUGGAAGAUAGAAGAGGGAUUUCUUAACAUUGGUCAGAGAAGAGGGUAUCAGUUAGCUGGAAGUGCUACUCUGAAAAACUGAUGGCCCUUUGCAGGUGUGACCCUGAGCUCUGCUGGAUUUCUUGUGAAGAAAACUCCAAGGAAUGGAUGAAUGCCUGGAAACUUACUGCUGGAAGUCAUAAGGCAAUGACAAGAAAAUAGCAUAUCAUUGGAAGACUUGACCCAUGGGAUCUAUAAAUUCCUAGGGAAGCUCCUUACUAUAAUUUGUUUGGUUUCUAUGGAAUCCAACAAGAAAAGAAAUAGCGAAACAUGUGGGUUGUCUCCUCUUUGGCACUAAGCCUGGGAGAAUAUGAAGAUAUCUGAAAACAAAGAGGCUUCCUUCAGGUGUUCAGGAGGGGGCUAACACUGCCUACUUGUAUGUCAAGGGCCCAUGGGAGUAGACACUCCCAGAAUGCUACCACUUGGAUUCUCCAGGGAUCAUAUGUGAUACCAAUCAGCUGACAAAGAAAAUAACAACCCAUCUAAGGGGAUUCAGCAGCUAGAAAGAAAAUGAGUAUGCCAAGCAAACUGAAUACACGACCAGCAAAAUAGAACUUCAAAAGGAGACAAAAUACAACAUUCUCUCUCUCUCUGUGUGUGUGUGUGUGUGUGUGUGUGUGUGUGUUUGCAUGUAAAUAACAAAAUUCAAGUUCUGGACACAAUUUUUAGAGCUAAACACAUGACCUUCCAACUAAACUUUUUAUUAGAUAUCAAAGAAGCUGGUCACUGUUGAGGUGAAGAUCAAGUGCAAGAUACAUUUUGAGGCACAGAGCAAAAAUGUAAAGAAUCAGAAAAAGACAAGAGACUUGAGGAUUUAAUCCAAACAACUGAACAGCUAAAAACAAGAGCUACAGGGGCAGAAGAAGAAAAAGUUUAAGAAAGAGACAGUAUAUUAUUUUCUCUGAGAAGAGGUAAAGCUGGAAACCUGUUGUAAGCAAGAUUUAUUGAAUUUUCUCAUCAUAGUCUUAAAAGAGCAGUACUCCAAUAGGUCUUGUUUACUAAAGGAAGAUUUGUUGAAAGAAUCAAACAACUGAUGGAGGCUGAUGAAAAGAAUACAUGACGAUCAAUGACACUUGGUACACACGUUCACACUCACAGACACAUACACAAACGUUGGAUAGGAAAAGGCUGGCUGGCAACAUGUGGCAACAGUGCUCUGUAAGGACUCUUGAAGUAGAAUAAAUAGUCUUACUGAAAGAGGAAUUCAGAUUAUUAUUUUUAAAAACUUGGAACAAGAGUUCUAGGCUGACUCAGCAAAAACUAGGAGCCAGGCUAGGGGAGGGGAUAAGUAAAAAUCCUUCCAAAGGAUUCCUAUCUGGGGAAAGGAGGAGAAGGCCAAGCAUUUAAGAUCUCAUAUUACAGAGGACAGGAGAGGGAGCACAUUGAGAAGAAAUAUAGCAUCUUGGUUGUAUAGUGUGUUCUGGUGUGAAAAUGUGCAUUUAAUGUUCAAAAAUAGUGUGAGAAAAGAUAAUCAUUGAUGGAAUAGUACCAUAAAAGUCCCAAAUUAACAAGAAAAAAAAAAAAAGAAAAACCACAAUAGAUAAUAGCAUGAUCAGCAAAGAUAAGGGAAAGAAAAAAAAAAGAAGUAAUAUAAAAUAAAUAAUUAAAAUAAAGUGUAAAGGAAGACAUAAAAUCAAGUACAAUGGUUACUAUAUCAUUUGUAGGCAGAAUUUUCCCUUUGAAAGACUGAGACGUCAGAUUGGGUUAAAGCAAAUUUAACCCAUGUAUAUGCUAUUUAAAAGAAAAUAAGAUAAAGGUGAACAAAGAUUGAAGAUAAAGAGGUGAAAAAAGAGGUAUCAUACAAAUGCAAGCUAAUAGAAAGUUAUAAUAUUAGUGGCAGCUGAUAUAUUUAAACUUAAAAGCACUAUAGAGGAUAAAAAAUAUUAUAUAAUGAUAAAACUGAUACUACUUGAAGCAAUGAUAAUCAUAAACCUAUAUUUACCCACCAAUUAAAAAACAUCAACUAGCUAAAUACAUAAAGCAAAAACAAUUAAAAAUUUGAGAACUUUUAAAAAGUUAUAAUAGGUAACACUAAUUUAAGGAAGUGAUAGCUCUCUCUAAGAAUUGGACAGAUUAAAUAUGCAAAAAAUUAGUAAAAUCAUAAAGCAAUUGAAGAGUAUCAUACAUCGGUAAGAAUUUGUAAAAAGCUUCCAUCUUUCAAAUAGAGAAUCACAAUUACAAAAUAAUCAUAGUAAUAAUAAUAAUGGUGAUAAUUAUGUACUUGACUAACAAAGGAAAACCUUACAAAUUUUUAAAAGUUGGGUGUGAGCCAUGAGCCAUGGUCUUCUAUCAAGUAUAAUUUGUGACAGAGGAAAAUGAGAGGUGACUAAAGAAAGGUUAUUUCUUAGAAAUAAAAUUUUAAAAAGCACUCUUGAAUUACCAUUGUAGAAAGGGAAAGUCAAAUGGAAAUUAUUAUUUAUCUAAGAACUACAAAGGGAGACUCUUUAUUCUGUAACUUACUACUCCUAAAAU
rnacentral:lncRNA from 10 species